GGGUGUUGGUUACUUUGAAAAAUCUCAGCUCUGGGGACAGCAAUAUGGUAAGUGUAGCAGAAUUAUCAAAGCCCAGAGGGAGCUACCCUUGUUCAACUUUUCUGCUAGGCCUGUAUUUAAAACACCAGGGACACUUUGUAUGUACCGAAUAUGA
rfam:Canis lupus familiaris chromosome 26, whole genome shotgun sequence.